GAUCGUGUCCUGUCUGGGGGUUAUGCACAACGCUUCCCCUUCCUCCACUCCGCACUGCUCCGUCCUUGUCCUUUGCUGGGGGCCUUCCAGGCAGGACAGUGAAUGUAUAGGCAUAGUGAUCCCAGGGGAGAUUUCUGGCAGAAAUUACUGACAUGGCUGAUUGCAGGGAGCUGGUGGUGUACCUCUGGCUGGGCCUUUCUUAACCCCAGCUGUGCCACACAAAUGCAGCUGACCUGGGCCUUUCCGUCUUGGUAGAUCUCCUUCAAGGUACUCCAGAUUUAGCUCUUUGUCACAUCUACAGUAUACAUAAAGACAUCCAUUCUCAGGAAGAAGUGCAGGGCUAAGGAAGUUUGUACACUUGGACAGCAAACAUAAAAUUGUGGUGUUUUCUUCCUUGUGGGUGUCAUCAUCUGCAGCUCCACCCAUCAUCUCAGAAGUAUCUUUUCCUUG